rnacentral:rRNA from 1 species
GACAUGACUCUCGGCAAUGGAUAUCUCGGCUCUCGCAUCGAUGAAGAGCGCAGCGAAAUGCG